UACAGAGGGGGCAAGCGUUGUUCGGAAUUACUGGGCGUAAAGGGCGCGUAGGCGGCCUGUUAAGUCGAACGUGAAAUCCCCGGGCUCAACCCGGGAACUGCGUCCGAUACUGGCAGGCUUGAAUCCGGGAGAGGAAUGCGGAAUUCCAGGUGUAGCGGUGAAAUGCGUAGAUAUCUGGAGGAACACCGGUGGCGAAGGCGGCAUUCUGGACCGGCAUUGACGCUGAUGCGCGAAAGCCAGGGGAGCAAACGGG
rnacentral:rRNA from 1 species